CUUAUACUCCCUCCGUUCGGAAUUACUUGUCUCGGAAAUGGAUGUAUCUAGAAUUAAAAUACAUCUAGAUACAUCCAUUUCUGCGGCAAGUAAUUCCGAACGGAGGGAGUAGAUA
rnacentral:pre_miRNA from 1 species